rnacentral:lncRNA from 1 species
ACAACACAAAACUUGAAAAAAAACCAACAACAAAAAAAAAAAGGAACACAGUUUUAAAAGAGAGGAGAAGUCACACACGAGAGGAAGGGGAGAAUAUUUUGUGAAAUUAAAAAAAAGGUAGUGAAAACAUUGAAGAGAAGGGAAAACAGUAAAAGAAACAAAACAAGAAGAAAAAAACAAAAACAGAAAGGGAAAUAUAAAGCAAAAACGAAGGGUUUGGGUUUGAGUUUGGGAUCUUGUUCGAGCUUCUGGUGACAACGUUCUUGCAUUAAUAUUUGAUUUAAUUUGUAAUACAGGUUUCAUCUCAUCUUGUAUUAUAUUUCAUAAGUUUAUCAUAAAUCAAAGCAUGAAUGAAGUUGUUCCAACGACUUGUUAUGUUAUUUAGCGUGUGUAAUUUGUUAUUUUUAUAUAGUUUGCUUUUUGUCUUUGUCUACCAAUCGUUUAUUGGCUUGGAAUAAUGUUGGUUAGAUUAGUUUGAAUUUUGAAUGAUAUAUUUUUAAAAAGUUAAU